rnacentral:rRNA from 1 species
AUGCACGCUAGCGGCAGGCCUAACCCAUGCAAGUCGAGGGGUAGAAGGAGCUUGCUCCUUUGAGACCGGCGCACGGGUGCGUAACGCGUAUGCAAUCUACCUUGUACAGGGGAAUAGCCCAGAGAAAUUUGGAUUAAUGCCCCAUAGUAUAUAACCUUCGCAUGUUGGUUAUAUUAAAGUUCCAACGGUACAAGAUGAGCAUGCGUCCCAUUAGUUAGUUGGUAAGGUAACGGCUUACCAAGACGAUGAUGGGUAGGGGUCCUGAGAGGGAGAUCCCCCACACUGGUACUGAGACACGGACCAGACUCCUACGGGAGGCAGCAGUGAGGAAUAUUGGUCAAUGGUCGCAAGACUGAACCAGCCAUGCCGCGUGCAGGAAGACGGUCCUAUGGAUUGUAAACUGCUUUUAUACAGGAAGAAACCCUCCCACGUGUGGGAGCUUGACGGUACUGUAGGAAUAAGGAUCGGCUAACUCCGUG